AUUUGUAUCCCAAAAGCAAAUGAAAGCAAAUAAGUGGUGUAAAAUUUAAAGAGGGUGCGGACAAAGAAGGAGCUGAGGGUAUAUCGGAAACCUCUCUACCUUCCAAGGUAGGGGUAAGGUCUGCAUACACGCUAUCCUCUCCAGACCCCACUUACGAGAAUAUACGCUAUCCUCUUCAGAUCCCAUUUAUGAGAAUAUACUAGGUAUAUUGUUGUUGUGGGCCGAGUAAGGAAACUAAGGAACUCCGAGGGGUUCAACUACCAUGUAAG
rnacentral:misc_RNA from 1 species